rnacentral:rRNA from 1 species
UACAGAGGUCUCAAGCGUUGUUCGGAUUCAUUGGGCGUAAAGGGUGCGUAGGUGGCGCCGUAAGUCAGGUGUGAAAUUUCGGAGCUUAACUCCGAAACUGCAUUGAUACUGCGGUGCUUGAGGACUGGAGAGGAGACUGGAAUUCACGGUGUAGCAGUGAAAUGCGUAGAUAUCGUGAGGAAGACCAGUGGCGAAGGCGGGUCUCUGGACAGUUCCUGACAGCUGAGGCACGAAGGCCAGGGAGCAAACGGG